rnacentral:rRNA from 1 species
AUGAACGCUAGCUACAGGCUUAACACAUGCAAGUCGAGGGGCGAGCAUUAUCUUAGCUUGCUAAGAUAGAUGGCGACCGGCGCACGGGUGAGUAACACGUAUCCAACCUUCCGGUUACUCGGGGAUAGGCUUUCGAAAGAAAGAUUAAUACCCGAUGUUGCGUAUCUUUCUCCUGAAAGAUACGCCAAAGGAUUCCGGUAACCGAUGGGGAUGCGUUCCAUUAGGCAGUUGGCGGGGUAACGGCCCACCAAACCUUCGAUGGAUAGGGGUUCUGAGAGGAAGGUCCCCCACAUUGGAACUGAGACACGGUCCAA